rnacentral:rRNA from 1 species
AUGUCUGGACUCAAAAUAAACUUCCUUAAAAGCGAAUUUUUGUGUGUUGGGGGAGACGAUAAUAUACUAGCUUCCUAUGCGGAACUAUUCAACUGUCAAAUUGGGCAUUUCCCGAUGGAAUACUUGGGAGUGCCGGUAAGCUACUCCACCUUGCGUAGCCUAGACUGGAGUUUUGUAGAUGACAAAUUCCUAAAAUAUUGUGAAUCGUGGAUUGGUAAUGCCGCAUCCUCGGGUGGAAGACUUGUACUCCUAAAUUCCUCCCUUUCUAGCAUUGUCUAUUACUAA